UCCGAAGGGGGCUAGCGUUGCUCGGAAUCACUGGGCGUAAAGCGCACGUAGGCGGAUUGUUAAGUCAGGGGUGAAAUCCUGGAGCUCAACUCCAGAACUGCCUUUGAUACUGGCGAUCUCGAGUCCGGGAGAGGUGAGUGGAACUGCGAGUGUAGAGGUGAAAUUCGUAGAUAUUCGCAAGAACACCAGUGGCGAAGGCGGCUCACUGGCCCGGUACUGACGCUGAGGUGCGAAAGCGUGGGGAGCAAACAGG
rnacentral:rRNA from 1 species